UUGAAAAGACUGGUUGAAUUCCAGUCCGCCGUAAACCCAAGGUUUCCUGGGGAAGGUUCGUCCUCCCAGGGUUAGUCGGGACCUAAGUCGAGGCCGAAGGGCGUAGACGAUGGACAGCAGGUUUAAUAUUCCUGCACCGCCGACAUUUAAAUUUGAGGGACGUGUGUGAGGAGAAGAGUUGGGCGUUGAUUGUCCCAGUCCCGCAAGGGGACGUGGAGGCCUCGGCCAAAGCGGAUUCUUUAAAUCAUGCACCAAGAAAAACUCAAAGGAAUACUAAGGCGCCCGUACCGGAAACCGACACAGGUGGGUGGGCAUCAAUGUGCCCAGGCGCGUGAGUGAAACCUCGUUAAGGAACUCGGCAAUCUAGCCCCGUAACUUCGGAAGAAGGGGUGCCCUUUCAGUGAUGAAAGGGUCGCAGUGAAAUGGGUGUACCGACUGUUUAUCAAAAACACAGCACUCUGCUAAGUCGUAAGACAACGUAUAGGGUGUGACACGUGACCAAUGCGGAAAGAUUACGGUAAGUGGUUAGCGCAAGCGAAGCUACGAGCCCAAGUCCCCGUGAAUGUCGGCCGUAACUAUAACGGUCCUAAGGUAGCGAAAUUCCUUGUCGGGUAAGUUCCGACCUGCACGAAUCGUGUAACGAGUGCACCGCUGUCUCAACGAGGAGCUCAGCGAAGUUGUAAUGGCGGUGAAGAUGCCGCCUACCCGCAGCAGGACGGAAAGACCCUAUGCACCUUUACUGUACGCUGUUACUGUGUUUUCGAUUUUCAUGCUUAGCGUAAGUGGGAGACUUUGAAACGCUUCUUUCGGGGAGCGUUGAGUCGUCAAUGAAACACCACCCUUGGAAAUUGGAAACUCUAACCCUCGCCCAUCAUCUGGGGAGGGGACACUGGCAGCCGGUCAGUUUUACUGGGGCGGUAUCCUCCCAAAGAGUAACGGAGGAGUACGAAGUUUGGCUCAACCUGGUUGGUAAUCAGGUGACGAGUACAUGGAUAUAAGCCAGACUAACUGUGAGACCUACAAGUCGAGCAGAUGCGAAAGCAGGUCCAAGUGAUCCGGUGGUUGAAAGUGGAAUCGCCAUCGCUCAACGGACAAAAGGUACGCUAGGGAUAACAGGCUGAUCGAGUCCAAGAGCUCAUAUCGACGACUCGGUUUGGCACCUCGAUGUCGGCUCAUCACAUCCUGGGGCUGGAGAAGGUCCCAAGGGUCCGGCUGUUCGCCGGUUAAAGUGGUACGCGAGCUGGGUUCAGAACGUCGCGAGACAGUUCGGUCCUUAUCCGCUGUGGGCGCAGGAAAGUUGAGGGGUUUAAACCUUAGUACGAGAGGACCGGGUUUAACGAACCUCUGGUGUUCCAGUUGUCGUGUCAACGGCAGUGCUGGGCAGCUACGUUCGGAAGAGAUAAGCGCUGAAAGCAUCUAAGCGCCAAGCUCCUCCCAAGAUUGACUUUCCCUGAAGGGUCGUGGUAGACCACCACGUUGAUAGGCCAUAGGUAUAAGCGCAGUAAUGUGUUGAGCUUAGUGGUACUAAUAACCCGUUCGGCUUGAUCCA
rnacentral:rRNA from 1 species